rnacentral:tRNA from 1 species
AGGGAUUUAGCUCAGCAGCAUAAGCAUCUGCCUUGCAAGCAGACAGUGAGUUCAAUCCCCA